UGGAAUAGUCUGCCAUAAAAUCAUGACUGGUGGACGUUUUCCGUGAAAGAAGGUAAACACAGCUAGCUGAUCAGACAGCUCGCAGUGUGCAUCACGCGAGCCACGUGGGUAAGGUGUGUUGGGAUUAAUGUCGAGCAGUGUGACGAGGGAACGUAGGUAUGUGUGAGAGAAUACCAUUCCUGGGGUCACACCAACUGGGUGACUCUGCUAAAAUCUCAAGAUUCACAGGACAACAGGUGCAAAUGUCUUGGGUUUGGUGACCUCUUGGCUCACUGUUCAUCAUUUAUCCUGUGACUCAUACAUGUGCUGUGCAAACAAAAAUAGUGUGUGCAGCUCCACCAAUACUAUACACAUUAUGAAUCUCAGCAAUCCUAAUGUGUAUUGCUGCAAUAUAUAAAGUGUAGCUGUGUGAUCAGUGCCUGCUAAGGGGUACACUUGCAUAAGCAUCUUGAAAGGAAUUAGUGUGCCCUGUACUGGAACUGUUGGUGUAUUUGACAUCAUGAAUUCCUAUGACAUAUUCAAGAAACUAACCAAAGGAAUCAAGUUUGACCAUAAGCGAUUUAAAGAUGACUUCAGAAAGCUUGGGCUUCAGCCAUCAUCAGCAGUGCCAGCUAAAGUCAUUGUGCCCUUGGAUGAACAGCUGGAGGACGACACAGGGCAGAAAGACCAACAGGAAGGGGUAGAAAAAAAGGCCAGGUUGAAGAGGAAAAAGAAGGGAAAGAAUGACCAGCAGAAGCAGUUGAUGUUACAGCAACAAGAGAUCAGACGGCAGAGGCGUCAGCUGGGGAUCCAGGUGUGGGGGACAGAUAUUCCAGCACCUUUAGAAAAAUUCUCACAACUCAUCACAGACUAUGAUGUAAAUAGCAAGCUGAUAGUCAACCUUAAGGCUCAGGGCCACUCCAUCCCCACCCCAGUGCAGGCACAGGCAUGGCCUCUCAUGCUGCAACGCCGCCACAUCCUUGCCUCUGCCCCCACUGGCUCAGGCAAGACUGCAGCCUUCCUGAUUCCAUUACUGCAAGGACUUGGUGGUCCAAGGAAAAAGGGUUUCAGGGCAGUGAUUCUUGCCCCCACUCGGGAACUGGCCUCUCAGAUCCAUAGGGAAUGUGUGAGGCUGGGUGAGGGGCUGGGCAUCCGACCUAUUGUUAUUGCCAAUGUCACCAAGGCUAGGCAGAAGUAUGGCCCACAGUCUUCACAAAAGUUUGACCUACUAGUGACAACACCAAAUCGCCUUGUUCAUCUUCUGAAGGAAAGUGUUGAAGGUCCACCUCUCUCCCUGGCUAAUGUUGAGUGGCUGGUGGUGGAUGAGAGCGAUCGGCUCUUUCAAGAUGGCCAACGGGGUUUCCGAGAUCAGCUGGCUGCAGUAUACCAGGCAUGUACUGGUCCCUCAGUCACUCAGGCCUUGUUUUCAGCCACCUUUGCUCAAUCAGUUCAAGAUUGGUGUCGCCUCAACCUCCACAACAUGGCCAUGGUCUCUGUUGGCCUGAGAAAUUCUGCCUCAGAGGAUGUAGAGCAACACCUUCAGUUCUGUGGGAAUGAAGGCGGCAAGCUGCAUGCACUCAGGGAUAUCCUGAGGAAGGGUUACGAGCCACCAGUGCUGGUGUUUGUUCAGACUAAGGAGCGAGCAAAGGAGUUGUUUCGGGAGUUGAUUUAUGACAACAUCACUGUGGACACUAUCCAUGCUGACCGCACCCAGAAACAGCGAGACAAUGUGGUGGCAGCAUUCCGUGAGGGCAAGAUCUGGGUUUUGAUUUGCACGGAGCUGAUGUCUCGAGGUGUGGACUUUAAGGGUGUCAAUCUGGUCAUCAAUUAUGACUUGCCUCCCACAACCAUCAGCUACAUCCACCGUGUUGGCCGCACAGGCCGUGCUGGUCGCCGGGGCCAAGCUGUUACCUUUUGGACCAUGGAGGACCGUCCCAAACUCAGAAGCAUUGCCCAAGUGGUGCAGAGCUCUGGCCAGCAAGUGCCUCAGUGGAUGUUGGACCUCAAGAAGCCCAGCAAGAAUGAAAGGCAACGGAUGACAACCCAGCAGCCUGAGCGUGGCCACGUGUCUCGAGCAGUACAACAUGAGAAGGUGGCAAAACGGAGAAGAAAGAAGGAUAGCUUGGUUUCACACACUGCUGCCAGGUCAAAACAACACUGCCACCAUAUUCCUUAUGCAUCCUAGAGCAUCUACAAGGGACAGAGCUUGGGGAUUUGCAACCCUCUCCUCUGUAUUCCUGUUUCUAUGAUGAGACAAGUCAUGAAGUUUUAUCUAAGCUGUCUGUUUGAAAUGGAUCUCAGCCUAGUAGAGACAGAUGUGCCUGGAAUGCAGCAACUAGUGGCUGCAGAUAUUGGAGAAGCGCAAGAAGAUGAAGAUUGAGAGCAGUGAAGCAGCAUAUUGAUCUCAUAGUUGAUAACUUGACAGAAUACAAAAUAUAAUAUACACUUUUAAAACUGAGAGAAGUGUGUUUUAUGAAUUGUCAAUGCAAGUCAAAUAAGAAUGAUCACAGUUAAACAAUUUUAUUUUGUGCUGCAAAAUGUGGUACAGUAUAAGAAUAGAAAAUAUUUUUAAAAAAUCAACUUAGCCUUGAAUUUCACAUGAAAAUCUGACUCACAGUAUCAGCUUCCUGAUGAAAUAAACAUAAGAAGAAAAAUAUUUUUUUUUAUUUCUUUUUUUAUAUAUACUAUUACAUUCCUUAAUUUUUUUAUUGUUAUAUCAUUUCAAUUGGGGUAACCAGAUGGAUGGUUAUACAUUUACCUGUAUAAUCCUAAAUAAGGCACAGCAUGUAGACUAACAUUAUCCUACAAAACCCAGCACUGGGCUCACACCAGAUCAACAGAAGGAAAUGGACACUUGAGGCUGUUCUGGGCAAGCUACUCUGACUUUAAUAUUCUUAAAGCCAGAAAGCUAAAGUACAAAGUAAAAGACAAGCAAAACUACUUGGAGUCCAUGAAACACACCCUAAUAAAGAAAAAGCAAGAAACCUGUGUAUAAAGUAUUUCUUAUUUAAAUGUUGUGAAUUAUUAGUAAAUUUAUAUAUGUAGUUAUUUUUUUAUUUAUUUAUUUAUUUAUUUUAAGUAGUGAUUGAACACAUUGCUGGUGUACAUGCACCCAGCACAAAAAAGUGGAAACUGGACAAUUCCUAAAAGCUAAAUUAAAUUAUUAUUAUUUGCAUCACAACAUAGGGAGCUACAUUUGAGAACCAUGACUGAGCAGUACUGCUCAUACCACACUCCUGUGAAUAUUUAUGAGAGAUUCUGCAACAGUUCAAAUUAUUCUACAGUAAGUAUAUCUUAUAGCAGAUUCUAUGGCAAAGUUGUAUAUUGUGCUACAACAGCUUCAGAAAAUUAUAACUUGUUUUUAAUUAACUUUCACUCCUUUUAUCACCAAUGUCACAAUACACAACACAGCCCAACUUGUUUCCAGUACACAGAUGAGAGGAAUGCACUUUGUCACCUUUAAAAGGAAUGUAUUGUGUAGAUCAAGUAUACAUUAUAUUUUAAAAGUUCUUGCUACAGUAUAAAAGUUCAGUAGCAUUAAAUUGUAAUAAUAUUCCAAAAUUAACAUUUAUUAUUUGUUUACCUUGAUUGAUUAUAAACAUAAAGACCAAUGCUUCCUUCAAAUUUUCUUAUUAGGGCUGGUAAUUCAGUUAUAGUUACAGUCAUCCUCCUAUGCUUAACUAAAUGGUUAAUCAUUUCAUUUUGGUAAACACUAGUAGUCGAUUAUAACUCUUACAGAGCAACUGAAUAUUUAAAAGAGUAAGAAACAAAAAAAUAAUCUAUGCUGACUGCAGGAAGGUGGCUACAGAUGGGAAUGGCCAUCCUGCACCAGUCACUUUAGGUGGUAUAGCCGCAAUUGGUGCACUUGGGAUGGCGGCAGCAGCAGCAGAAGGCAAUGAUACCCGGGAUGAUACCAAGGGGAAGAAGCAACAGACAGGUAAUCCAUGUGCAGCAUGAGGCACUAUCUUUUAUUUUG